AAAAAUGACUGAACAGCCACAUAUUUCAAAUCCCUUGGUUUUUUUUCCUAGUGUACCACACUGCCUCCAAAAUAACUACUAGGCAAUUGGAUAUGGAGCUCCAAAGGCCAGAUGGGGCUGAAGAAAAACAUGAUAGUUGAAAUCAGGAAAGUGUUUACAAUAUCCAAGAAAAGAGAGUAUGUCUCUUUCCCAAAAGGAUUGCCCCUAUCAAUAUAACCAUAUAUACAGCCAGCAUUGAAAUGAAUUGUAAAUGUCAAGUGGAGAGCCGCUGGACAUGCUGCUGAGAGACAGAUCUUUUCACUUGGAAAAUGAUUUAUCCAACCGUAUUGUAAGAAGAUGGCUGUCCUUGUUCCAAAAGGCUGUCCUCUGUGAGAGGAAUGAUUGUGUGAUCAAUGCCAAUGUUCCUCAAAGAACCAUCUUCCUGUUGGGGUAGAAGGAAUGGAUGAUUGCAGAGAGAGAAGGGACAGAAGCAUUUCAGGACUACUCCAAUCAAAUCAAGUUCUCUUAGUCUCUCAAUGAAGAAAGCUCCCCUAGAAUUCUUGGUUUGGAAAAUCUUACUAUGAACUAAAUGAUAUUCAUUUCUUUUUUUUGGCAUUGAAGGUCCUUCCUGAUCUUGCUCCAAUUUUCCUUUCUAACCAUAUUAUAUAUUACUUCCCCUUCAUGCACUGGGGUUAAACUAAAAUGGCUUUUUUUUUUUUUUUUUUUUUUUGCUGGACCUCUCUUCUAACUCUCCAUUUCUGUCUGUAUGAUUUGGUAUUGGCUGAACCCAAUCCUAGGAAUGCCCUCUCUUCUUAGCUGUGCUAUUUAGAACUCAAAUCUCUGUUUGAAUGCUACCUCCCUUUUCUAAUUCCCCAGCUCAUAGUACUCCCCCCAACCCACUUAUCUUGUUCCUUUUCUGUAUAUAUUUAUCUGAUGUAUAUUAAUAAAUACAUAUUUUCUCUACUAUAUAAUGGAACUUCUUGGGGGUGGGGAUCAUUUAACUUUUGUCUUCCUCUCUCCAGCACACAGAAGAGACAUAGUAAACGCUUAGUGAUUGAUUUGUACAUCCAAAGAUCUGUGAUUUUAUGGCUUAAUUAGAAGGUAAUUCUUCACUUCGUGGUGGUUUCCUGAGUUACUGAGGCCAAAUAAAAUUCAUCUGUUGUUGGUCUAUAUUUCAGAAAGGAGGUAUAGACUAGGCUGGCCCUUAGAGUCCCUCCUGAGUCCCAUACCUGGAGGCCAAGCCUUUCUAGCUGACUUGCCUUAUUUGUCAUAAUUUUUGAGCAGCACUGUCACACCAUUGUGGACAGAGGACUUUUGUGGAGAGAACUAGAUUUAGGAACUACAAAUAAAUGCAGGAAAUAAAGGGAAAAAAAGGUUUACUGAGCUGGUAGACACUCAGGGAAGAAUACUAGGAAGGGACAGUGUGGAAUCAUGGCACUGCUUUAGUGGGUAUGGAACCAGAGGAGCUGGAUUUGAAUCCCAGCUUCAUUCUUUAC